rnacentral:ncRNA from 6 species
CAAGGUUUCCGUAGGUGAACCUGCGGA